rnacentral:lncRNA from 1 species
GGUGCUGACUCUAAGUGUCCUUAGUGUGUAACCUUGGGCAUGGCACUUAACCUCUCUGUAAACUGGAGUUGUUCCCCGAUAGCCCAGGCCUAUGAGCUGACACCCAGAGGAGGUAAAGAACUUGCUGUUCCUGCACAGUGAGGCAAUGGUCAUCAUCCUCUCACCCGCCUCUGACUCUUCCCACAGGAGAGAGCUGGUCGAAUAGUACAAUUUCCCCAUGUGAAUGGGGAGAAGCUAGGGAGAGGAAGAAUGAUCUUCAGUCAGUAAGGGUAAGAGGAGCCACUUUUCCCAUCUGAGUAAAUACCAAGAGAAGAUGAAUGUGAGGCUCUUGGAGAUUAGCUGUCUGCUGGGAGAGAAACACCUUCAUUGAUUAAAUACAAAAUCUGUUCUGGCAA